CGGCAAAAAAUGCGGAAUAACCCUUUAACCGUACAUUUGACAGAUACGCGCGCAUGGACUUUUUUUGUAGAUCUUAUUGAGAUACAUGUGUGUGUCAAUUUUUGUGUCAUUUUGACAAAGCGUACAGGCGUGACACUCAACAAUGUGUAUUUUCACCUUAGGGGACAAGAAAAAAUGGACUUUUUUCUCCUGCCAUGGGGGGGCGCUCUUUUGGGGAGUAAAAAUUCCUUCACAAAUGUGUUGAUGGCUGGACAUUGCAUCAUCCUAGAAAACUUGGAGGCCAGUGAGGGCAAAAAUAAAAAGUUAUAAGACUUUUAAAUAUGUGGAUUUUAGGGUUAUCUUUGGCGCCCCCUAGAACCUAAACCGUGGGGUGCAGCGUCAUGAUUUGAAUAACUUUUAAUGGCCAUGGGGUGUAGAUUGGCCUGAGCAAAUGUGGUGCCGGUGGAACGAAAGCCUUCGGAGGAGUUAGCGAAAUUCCAAUGUGUGCGGAUCGGCAAAAAAUGCGAAAUAACCCUUUAACCGUACAUUUGACAGAUACGCCCGCACUGACUUUUUUGUAGAUCUUAUUGAGAUACAUGUGUGUGUCAAAUUUUGUGUCAUUUUGACAAAGCGUACAGGCGUGACACUCAAUAGUGUGAAUUUUCACCUUAGGGGGCGCUAUGGAGCCAUUUUGCAUUUUCUUGUUUGGGCGACUUCGGAAUAUCAAAUUUUUCACCAGGCCCGGUCGUCCUGCCAAAUUUCAUGAGUUUUCGCCAGUGGGAAGUGGGCCAUUUUCCAGUUCAAAGGGGAGGAAAAAGAAAAAAGAAACAAAGAAAAACCCCUUGGGGAAUAAUAGGGCUCUCGCAGCUGCUUAGCAGCUACGCUCGGGCCCUAAUAAUAACACUAGGACCCCGUUGGGGCACUGGCGGGCCCGAGCCGUGUCGUGUCCCCCCCCCCCCCCCCCCAACGUGCUGCCUCCCCGUCCCAUUUGUGUCCUUUUGGCCAUCGCCCUCUCUGGUAACGCCCAUCACUGCAAAGACCCUUUUCCUUCAUCGGCGUUUGCUGUUCUUCCUGCCAGUGCGUGUUGCUUUCACUUACACUUGCCACAGCCAGCCUCGUGAGUGCCUAGCCUAUUGGAUAUCACUGUCACCUACACAGGACAGUCAUUACCUUUCUAUUAAUACUUUGUGUUUUAAUUUCACAUUAAUUUCCAUAUUGUAUAAACGACUGGAAAAAACUUGAGCCCCUGCCCCUGUAUAAUCAUGUGCAUGUCUCUGUUCUAGCUCCAAGGUGAAUCUUCACUGCUCAUGUUCUCCUCAGAAGCACUCACCUCACUCCCCUCAGGUUACUGUACACAUGCACCAACUGCCUGCUUCAGGUUUGGAUGGAGCUUCAUGGUUGUCUUUUGGAGAAAUGACCAGUCAAGUUGUGUUUGAAAUUUGAUUUUUUUCAGGGGCAAAAGGAGCCUCUGCAUUCUUGUCAAAUAUGUAAAUAGCAUGUUUUUGCAGGUGCUAAAAACCAGACUCUGAGUGUGUGUGUGUGUGUGUGUGUGUGUGUGUGUGUGUGUGUGUGUGUGUGCGUGUGUGUGUGUCUGUGUGUGCGUUCAAGUCACAUGACAUAUUUAACCGGAUGUAGCUGCAAGACGGAGCCUCGUUGACUCUCCGUUUCAACUUAUCUCAAAAGUGAGGACCUCAACCUAUAUACCAGUUUUUAAAUUGUGUUGAUAGGCCAAAUAAAACCAGAGUUAUGAUAAAUUAUGUCCGCGAUACUUGUUUUCUGCUUAUUUUGAUCACGUUCGGCGCUCGAUCGCGCUGUAUGAGACAGGAAAACAUAGCAUGCAGACAUUAGCGACAGGUCUUACAGGCGGAAAAGGCUUGCCAAAGGAAAAAAAAAACACACCACAACAUCUCUCCUUUUGGUGGAAAACUUCACCACAACAACCAAUCCAAAAUUAUAUGGUGACUGAUUGACAAGGGGCGGGUGCUUACGUUCUUCCUGCAAUAUGAGAAGGGAGGGAGGGACUCUCAGCAGGGAUGCAGUCUGGGACACGUAGUUGCAAACCUAGCGACUUUGUUGUUAGAUUCAAUGACUUUUCAGACCCCCUAACGACUUUUUUUAGAAAGAAAGGGACUUUUAUCGACUUCUUCUGGAGUUUAGAGACUCUGACAUGAAGCAGGCUUUCCUUACUGAGGAGUUAGCAACGCUGCUAAGGGUGCAGAGCCACACAUGCGCUCCGAGCUCUGCAUGGGAGACUGAAGCUGACAGAGCUGCAGCAGUUAGCAGGUUUCACCCUCAGAGACCACCAGGGGUUCAUGUUGAGGCAUUUUAAAUUUUUUUUUUUGUGCCAUAGACACUGUCAGCACAAUCUGCAGUUACACUAACAAAAAUGCUGCAAAAAACAAAGAAUUAUGGAAAAAUUACACAUGGACUGACAUAGAGGAGGAUCUACACAAGUUUUUUACAUCAUGUUUUACAUCAUGCAUCAUUUACAUCAUGUUUUUUUGUAGUGGCAUAAAUAAAAAGUGACAUUUGUGAGACUAUACAGUGUUUUGUAAAUAAUUUUACAAAGAACACCUGGGCCAUUGCCUGCAUUUUGACGUCAAUAGAGGUAAAUUACUAUGUUCUUUGUUAAAAAUUUGCAUAUGUUUUGAAGUUUACAAUUUUUAUUUGAAGUUUAAGUUUUAAAAACAGUUCAUCACACAUAUUUGUGGUUUUCACAGUAAAAACGUUACUUUUUUCCACUCGGAUUUUAUGUUUUGUGUGUGAAUUUGGGUCCAAUGUGUAAAUAUAGUAUGUCAAAAUGAUAAAAUAACUGUAAAUUGACACAGGUGAGGUUGUGCUGAAAAAAAUGAUACCAGGCAAGGCAAGGUAAAAAUUUUGUAAGAGGAAAUAUAAAGGUAAAAUCUAAAGUAGUCAAAAACGGCCAAUAGUGACUCACAGACUCCACAGACAAGUCCCUUUGGCGCCACUCAGUGGGCAAAACUACUUUGUCUACUGUAAUGUAUAUUUGGGUCAUCUUUGGCGCCCCCUAAAACGUAAACCGUGGGGUGCAGCGUCAUGAUUUUUACAACUUUGAAUGGCCAUGGAGUGUAGAUUGGCCUGAGCAAAUUUGGUGUCAGUGGGACGAAAGCCUUAGGAGGAGUUAGCGAAAUUCCAAUGUGUGCGAAUCGGCAAAAAAUGCGAAAUAACCCUUUAACCAUACAUUAGACAGAUACGCGCGCAUGGACUUUUUUGUAGAUCUUAUUGAGAUACAUGUGUGUGUCAAUUUUUGUGUCAUUUUGACAAAGCGUACAGGCGUGACAGUCAAUAGUGUGAAUUUUCACCUUAGGGGACAAGAAAAAAUGGACUUUUUUCUCCUGCCAUGGGGGGGCGCUCUUUUGGGGAGUAAAAAUUCCUUCACAAAUGUGUUGAUGGCUGGACAUUGCAUCAUCCUAGAAAACUUGGAGGCCAGUGAGGGCAAAAAUAAA